GUUCCUCUUUAAUAGCACGUGUUGGGUCGAGUAUCGCCUCGCUUUGUUGGUGGUUGCGAAUUUCGCUUUCCUCGAGGACCUAUGCUUUGACUGUUUAGUAGAACUGAAUUUUUCAAUGUUAAGAUUGCGAGAGUUUGGUGUUGAUGACGGUUACAGAAUGGUUCAGGAAAUACUGCACAAUCUGGAACUUUUUUUGCUGUCUAAACAAACUAAGCUGUUUGGGUAGUUAAUAUGUCUGACUCAUUACCAGAGUGCAUUUUCUCACUCUGGCAUAAGAUUUAAAUCAACUUUACCUUGGAGACACCACCAAUCUCACAUUGUACUUUACUUGCAAUGAGGAUUUGGUCAACCAAGAUAACUGUCCUUGUGGGGUUGCCGCCUUGUGAUGCAGUACAAAGGUUUUUAUCAGAUCUGAAAAUGGUUAAGGGUGAUUGACAACAAAUUCCCAACAGAAGGAAAGCUGAAAUGUGCUUUGGUUCAAGAGGAAAGUCAGUAAGGUAGCUCUGAAAGUUAGGAUGAACAGAAUAUUUUAUCAGCAUGAAGGUGAAGGAAAUCCAUAUAAAGCAUAAGAGUAUUCACUCUUUUAGGGGCAGAAUGAAAUCCAGUUCUAGUCUUUGGAUAUUUUUCUUCAUGAUCCUUAUUCAAACUUAUUCAUUAUUGUCCAUUCUUAGUGUUAGAAAAUUGUUUCAAGGUUAGAAAAUAAAGAAUAUCUCUGAAAGA